GAUGAACGCUGGCGGCGUGCCUAAUACAUGCAAGUCGAGCGAACGGACGAGAAGCUUGCUUCUCUGAUGUUAGCGGCGGACGGGUGAGUAACACGUGGAUAACCUACCUAUAAGACUGGGAUAACUUCGGGAAACCGGAGCUAAUACCGGAUGAUAUUUUGAACCGCAUGGUUCAAAAGUGAAAGACGGUCUUGCUGUCACUUAUCGAUGGAUCCGCGCUGCAUUAGCUAGUUGGGAAGGUAACGGCUUACCAAGGCAACGAUGCAUAGCCGACCUGAGAGGGUGAUCGGCCACACUGGAACUGAGACACGGUCCAGACUCCUACGGGAGGCAGCAGUAGGGAAUCUUCCGCAAUGGGCGAAAGCCUGACGGAGCAACGCCGCGUGAGUGAUGAAGGUCUUCGGAUCGUAAAACUCUGUUAUUAGGGAAGAACAUAUGUGUAAGUAACUGUGCACAUCUUGACGGUACCUAAUCAGAAAGCCACGGCUAACUACGUG
rnacentral:rRNA from 1 species